ensembl:misc_RNA
UAGACAGCCCUGAAUGCCCUCUUUUGCCAGAAACAGGUUCAGCAUGGGCGGCAGCAGUGAAAGCUUCCUUCAUACAGUACCCUCCAAUGUGCCUCAGCCCUGUCAUGGAGGGACCACUAGAGAGGAGAACGGAGUUUGGUUUCCAUGAGCUCUGUGUGGCUCGA